AUGAACGCUAGCUACAGGCUUAACACAUGCAAGUCGAGGGGCAGCAUCAUCAAAGCUUGCUUUGAUGGAUGGCGACCGGCGCACGGGUGAGUAACACGUAUCCAACCUGCCGACAACACUGGGAUAGCCUUUCGAAAGAAAGAUUAAUACCGGAUGGCAUAAUUAUUCCGCAUGGGAUAAUUAUUAAAGAAUUUCGGUUGUCGAUGGGGAUGCGUUCCAUUAGGCAGUUGGCGGGGUAACGGCCCACCAAACCUACGAUGGAUAGGGGUUCUGAGAGGAAGGUCCCCCACAUUGGAACUGAGACACGGUCCAAACUCCUACGGGAGGCAGCAGUGAGGAAUAUUGGUCAAUGGACGAGAGUCUGAACCAGCCAAGUAGCGUGAAGGAUGACUGCCCUAUGGGUUGUAAACUUCUUUUAUACGGGAAUAAAGUGAGCCACGUGUGGCUUUUUGUAUGUACCGUAUGAAUAAGGAUCGGCUAACUCCGUGCCAGCAGCCGCGGUAAUACGGAGGAUUCGAGCGUUAUCCGGAUUUAUUGGGUUUAAAGGGAGCGUAGGCGGGUUGUUAAGUCAGUUGUGAAAGUUUGCGGCUCAACCGUAAAAUUGCAGUUGAUACUGGCGACCUUGAGUGCAACAGAGGUAGGCGGAAUUCGUGGUGUAGCGGUGAAAUGCUUAGAUAUCACGAAGAACUCCGAUUGCGAAGGCAGCUUACUGGAUUGUAACUGACGCUGAUGCUCGAAAGUGUGGGUAUCAAACAGGAUUAGAUACCCUGGUAGUCCACACAGUAAACGAUGAAUACUCGCUGUUGGCGAUAUACGGUCAGCGGCCAAGCGAAAGCAUUAAGUAUUCCACCUGGGGAGUACGCCGGCAACGGUGAAACUCAAAGGAAUUGACGGGGGCCCGCACAAGCGGUGGAGCAUGUGGUUUAAUUCGAAGCAACGCGAAGAACCUUACCAGGUCUUGACAUCGAUCUAAAAGGGAUGGAGACAUCCUCAUAGCUAUAGAGAAGACAGGUGGUGCAUGGUUGUCGUCAGCUCGUGCCGUGAGGUGUCGGCUUAAGUGCCAUAACGAGCGCAACCCUUACGGGUAGUUACCAUCAGGUUAUGCUGGGGACUCUACCCGGACUGCCGUCGUAAGAUGUGAGGAAGGUGGGGAUGACGUCAAAUCAGCACGGCCCUUACGUCCGGGGCUACACACGUGUUACAAUGGGGGGUACAGAAGGCAGCUACACGGCGACGUGGUGCUAAUCCCGAAAGCCUCUCUCAGUUCGGAUUGGAGUCUGCAACCCGACUCCAUGAAGCUGGAUUCGCUAGUAAUCGCGCAUCAGCCACGGCGCGGUGAAUACGUUCCCGGGCCUUGUACACACCGCCCGUCAAGCCAUGAAAGCCGGGGGUACCUGAAGUACGUAACCGCGAGGAGCGUCCUAGGGUAAAACUGGUGAUUGGGGCU
rnacentral:rRNA from 1 species